UACGGGAGGUGCAAGCGUUGUUCGGAAUGACUGGGCGUAAAGCGCACGUAGGCGGGCUUUUAAGUCGCAUGUGAAAUCCCUAGGCUUAACCUAGGAAUUGCAUUCGAAACUGGAAGUCUUGAAUGCCCGAGAGGUUAAUGGAAUUCUUGGUGUAGGAGUGAAAUCCGUAGAUAUCAAGAGGAACACCGGAGGCGAAGGCGGUUAACUGGUGGUGCAUUGACGCUGAGGUGCGAAAGCGUGGGUAGCAAACAGG
rnacentral:rRNA from 1 species